AACGACCCGUGAACUCGUACAAACACCUGGGGGGGCGUCCAUAGGGCGCUCCUUCCCACUUGCCCUUGGGGCGGGACUUGUCCGGCUCCUUGCGGCAAACAACAAACCCCCGGCGCGGAAAGCGCCAAGGAAUCAUAACGAGAGAGCACGGUCCUGAGGCCCCGGACUCGGUGUGCCUUAGGAUGCGGCGUCUUCUUUCACAUUAUCCAUAACGACUCUCGGCAACGGAUAUCUCGGCUCUCGCAUCGAUGAAGAACGUAGCGAAAUGCGAUACUUGGUGUGAAUUGCAGAAUCCCGUGAACCAUCGAGUCUUUGAACGCAAGUUGCGCCCCCAAGCCAUUAGGCCGAGGGCACGUCUGCCUGGGUGUCACACAUCAUUGCCCCAUCCCACCCCCUCGGGGGCCUGGUGGUGCGGGCGGACAAUGGCCUCCCGUGUGCUCUUGCUCGCGGUUGGCCCAAAUUCGAGUCCUCGGCGACCGGUGCCACGAUGAUCGGUGGUGGAAACAAACCUCUCGAGCUAUUGUCGUGCGCCUGUGUCUCCGGAUCGGGACUAAAGGACCCUGAUGCUCUGUGCUAGCAUUGCGACCCCAGGUCAGGCGGGAUUACCCGCUGAGUUU
rnacentral:rRNA from 1 species